UGUGGUGAUGAUGGCAUGGAGGAUAUACCUGUUCCCAUUCCGAACACAGAAGUCAAGCUCCAUAGCGCCGAGAGUAGUUGGGGGAUCGCCCCCUGUGAGGGUAGGACGUUGGNCACGU
rfam:Lactobacillus ruminis ATCC 27782, complete genome.